GCCAGACUCCUACGGGAGGCAGCAGUGGGGAAUAUUGCACAAUGGGGGAAACCCUGAUGCAGCGACGCCGCGUGAGUGAAGAAGUAUUUCGGUAUGUAAAGCUCUAUCAGCAGGGAAGAUAAUGACGGUACCUGACUAAGAAGCCCCGGCUAACUACGUGCCAGCAGCCGCGGUAAUACGUAGGGGGCAAGCGUUAUCCGGAUUUACUGGGUGUAAAGGGUGCGCAGGUGGCAGGGCAAGUCAGAUGUGAAAGCCCGGGGCUCAACCCCGGUAUUGCAUUUGAAACUGUCCGGCUAGAGUGCAGGAGAGGUAAGCGGAAUUCCUAGUGUAGCGGUGAAAUGCGUAGAUAUUAGGAGGAACACCAGUGGCGAAGGCGGCUUACUGGACUGUAACUGACACUGAGGCACGAAAGCGUGGGGAGCAAACAGGAUUAGAUACCCGUGUA
rnacentral:rRNA from 1 species